AAUGGGAGAAUGACAAAUCAGAUUUUGCCUCCUGAUUUUCAGCCUUUUACUCCUGAAAAAAUUCAAAUCCAACUAAAAAGGCUAAAAAUCAAGAGGAAAAAUCUGAUUUGUCAUUCUCCUAUU
rfam:Gossypium arboreum cultivar AKA8401 contig_41808_1, whole genome shotgun sequence.